GGUCACGAGUCUUAGUUCAAAGCCCCGGCUAACUAAGCGGCAACCCUCCACCACGGUGGGGUGCUCCGGGUGAAGACCAGGUCGAUAGCAAGGUGCCAUCGGCAAGUGUGGGUC
rnacentral:ncRNA from 2 species